rnacentral:rRNA from 1 species
GAUGAACGCUGGCGGCGUGCUUAACACAUGCAAGUCGAACGGUGAAGGCGGAGCUUGCUCUGCUGGAUCAGUGGCGAACGGGUGAGUAACACGUGAGCAAUCUGCCCCUGACUCUGGGAUAAGCGCUGGAAACGGCGUCUAAUACUGGAUACGAGCUGCGAAGGCAUCUUCAGCAGCUGUAAAGAACUUCGGUCAGGGAUGAGCUCGCGGCCUAUCAGCUUGUUGGUGAGGUAACGGCUCACCAAGGCGUCGACGGGUAGCCGGCCUGAGAGGGUGACCGGCCACACUGGGACUGAGACACGGCCCAGACUCCUACGGGAGGCAGCAGUGGGGAAUAUUGCACAAUGGGCGAAAGCCUGAUGCAGCAACGCCGCGUGAGGGAAGACGGCCUUCGGGUUGUAAACAUCUUUUAGCAGGGAAGAAGCGAAAGUGACGGUACCUGCAGAAAAAGCGCCGGCUAACUACGUG